AUUGAACGCUGGCGGAAUGCUUUACACAUGCAAGUCGAGCGGCAGCGCGGGGGCAACCCUGGCGGCGAGCGGCGAACGGGUGAGUAACACAUCGGAACGUACCCAGUGGUGGGGGAUAGCCCGGCGAAAGCCGGAUUAAUACCGCAUACGACCUGAGGGGGAAAGUGGGGGACCGCAAGGCCUCACGCCGUUGGAGCGGCCGAUGUUCGAUUAGCUAGUUGGUAGGGUAAAGGCCUACCAAGGCGACGAUCGAUAGCUGGUCUGAGAGGACGACCAGCCACACUGGAACUGAGACACGGUCCAGACUCCUACGGGAGGCAGCAGUGGGGAAUUUUGGACAAUGGGGGCAACCCUGAUCCAGCCAUUCCGCGUGAGUGAAGAAGGCCUCGGUUGUAAG
rnacentral:rRNA from 1 species